rnacentral:rRNA from 1 species
UCCGGUGGCGAUAGCGGAGGGGAAACACCCGUUCCCAUUCCGAACACGGUCCACAAGGGCCCCCAGACGGUCGCAAGACCGGCUGGGGUGCUAGUUAAGCCCUCCAGCGCCGAUGGUACUGCUUUCGCGGGAGAGUAGGUCGCUGCCGGUA